rnacentral:rRNA from 1 species
UACGGAGGAUGCAAGCGUUAUCCGGAAUGAUUGGGCGUAAAGGGUGCGCAGGUGGUCGGGUAAGUCUGACGUGAAAUCCCGCAGCUUAACUGCGGAAUGGCAUUGGAUACUAUUCGGCUAGAGGGUUGGAGGGGGGACUGGAAUUCUCGGUGUAGCAGUGAAAUGCGUAGAUAUCGAGAGGAACACCAGUGGCGAAGGCGAGUCCCUGGACAACUCCUGACGCUGAGGCACGAAAGCUAGGGGAGCAAACAGG